rnacentral:rRNA from 1 species
UACGUAGGGAGCAAGCGUUGUCCGGAAUCAUUGGGCGUAAAGCGCGCGUAGGCGGCCCGAUAAGUCCGCUGUAAAAGUCAACGGCUCAACUGUUGAAAGCCGGUGGAUACUGCCGGGCUAGAGUACGGAAGAGGCAAGUGGAAUUCCUGGUGUAGCGGUGGAAUGCGCAGAUAUCAGGAGGAACACCUAUAGCGAAGGCAGCUUGCUGGGACGUUACUGACGCUAAGGCGCGAAAGCGUGGGGAGCGAACAGG